rnacentral:rRNA from 1 species
UACGAAGGGGGCUAGCGUUGUUCGGAAUUACUGGGCGUAAAGCGCACGUAGGCGGAUUGUUAAGUCAGAGGUGAAAUCCCGGAGCUCAACUUCGGAACUGCCUUUGAUACUGGCAAUCUAGAGUCCGGAAGAGGUUAGUGGAAUUCCCAGUGUAGAGGUGAAAUUCGUAGAUAUUGGGAGGAACACCAGUGGCGAAGGCGGCUAUCUGGACGGUUUCUGACGCUAAGACGCGAAAGCGUGGGGAGCAAACAGG